AGGAAAGCAGGGGAUCGUAAGACCUUGCGCUUUUGGAGCGGCCGAUGUCUGAUUAGCUAGUUGGUGAGGUAAAGGCUUACCAAGGCUUCGAUCAGUAGCUGGUCUGAGAGGACGACCAGCCACACUGGGACUGAGACACGGCCCAGACUCCUACGGGAGGCAGCAGUGGGGAAUUUUGGACAAUGGGGGCAACCCUGAUCCAGCCAUGCCGCGUGAGUGAAGAAGGCCUUCGGGUUGUAAAGCUCUUUCAGCCGGAACGAAAAGGUUACGGUUAAUACCCGUGACUAAUGACGGUACCGGAAGAAGAAGCACCGGCUAACUACGUGCCAGCAGCCGCGGUAAUACGUAGGGUGCGAGCGUUAAUCGGAAUUACUGGGCGUAAAGCGUGCGCAGGCGGUUUUGUAAGUCAGAUGUGAAAUCCCCGGGCUUAACCUGGGAACUGCGUUUGAAACUACAAGGCU
rnacentral:rRNA from 1 species